UAGAGAGAUCAGUCCUCUCUGCUUUCUUGGAGGGCGACACGAAGCACCCUAUCGAAGUCCAUAUUUUUGGAGCGUUCGAUCAAACCAAGCGAAAGAUCUGUGGCCACGAACUGCUCCCAGCUCCCGAAGGCCACUGCGUGGUGCCAAUCUCCGUCCCGUGGUGCUUGGUCGUGGAGAUCUCGGGUGCAUGGUGUUCCAGGUGGAACCCCCGCGGCUCGGGAGCUCGGGCUAGCCUUUGCGGAGCUCUUUGUUCAGGUUCUUGGUCGACGCCGAGGUAGGGUUUGGAGGUCGUGGUUCUCCCCGGAAAGGCGGCUACUUUCGGUGGUUGGUUUGGAGGGAGCUGCGAAGGGGAGAUCCGGCGGUUCUUCCUGCUGCCGUUUGGUUUUUUUUUUUAUCACAAUGCGUGGGAUGGUUGGAGUUGUCGUGAUUUCAGCUGUUGUUUGAGGUCAUUGAAGCUUGGGAUUGAGUGAGGUAAAAAGACUUUAUCUUUUUAUGGGGUUUCAGCUCGGUAGGUUUGGUUGAGGUAGAUGGUGUGUUGGUUCUUUCUUUCUUUCUCCCCUUUGAAGUCAGCUUUUUGGGUUUAAGUUUGAGCAUCAGGCGAAGGAAUAUGUAGUGGUUGAGGUGAAGGGUUACAGUCGGUGUCUUCGUGACAAAUUGAAUAAGCUUGGGAAACUGGAAUCUCUCGGAUCUGCGAUUCUGGUGCUAAGUCCAAUAUUUUCUUUUGAUGUCAAAAUUUGCUAUCUGUAAACCUAGCAAAUGCAGAUCGAAGCUUAGUAAUUGAAAGUGGCCGUUUCUUGCAUAGGUAUUCCAUAUGGAUUAGGCCAAGCCAAUUAGUCUUUUUAUAUGUCUGAUAAGUAGCUUUCAUAGAUUGAAGUCUACAAGGUUUACGAGCAGAGGAGUAAAACGUUGGAGCAGGCUUCCUUGUGGAAACAGGCAAGGUAAAACUAAGAUCCGAGUUUUGUUGCAUGAAGUGCCUGCGCUCAAAGAUUUCAGUUUGCUGACAAAAAGGAGCAACUUUGAUUGUAAGUAAAUAGUGGAGCAUGCAAUCUAGUGGAAAGAGGCAAGAAAGGAGCAGCCUUGAUAGUAAGAGUGUGUGCUUCCUCCUGCAAUAAGCUUCGUCUCAACUACCAAAGAUGAGGCUCGCAUCUUCAAAUAUCCCCAAUCAGUCAGAAGAAGAAGAAACACGGUGUUUGAACUCCGAGUUAUGGCACACAUGUGCGGGACCUCUAGUUUCAUUACCAGCUGUUGGAAGUCGGGUGGUAUAUUUCCCACAGGGUCACAGCGAGCAGGUAGCUGCAUCAACCAACAAAGAAAUUGACUCUCAAAUCCCCAAUUACCCAAGCUUACCUCCCCAGCUGAUCUGUCAGCUGCAUAAUGUUACUAUGCAUGCAGAUGUGGAGACUGAUGAAGUUUAUGCUCAGAUGACAUUGCAACCACUGAGCCCACAAGAGCAAAAAGAUCCCUAUCUCCCUAAUGAUUUGGGUACCUCCAACAAACAACCAACAAAUUAUUUCUGUAAGAUGUUGACCGCAAGUGACACCAGUACUCAUGGUGGAUUCUCUGUUCCCCGUCGAGCAGCAGAAAAAGUUUUUCCUCCUUUGGACUAUUCACAGCAGCCUCCUGCUCAUGAGUUAGUUGCAAGAGACCUUCAUGACAAUGAAUGGAAGUUUCGUCAUGUUUUUCGUGGUCAGCCGAAGAGGCAUCUUCUGACUACAGGAUGGAGUACUUUUGUGAGUGCAAAGAGACUUGUUGCAGGGGAUUCUGUUCUUUUUAUCUGGAAUGAAAACAAUCAGUUGCUUUUGGGUAUUCGGCAUGCCAAUCGACCUCAAACAUUUAUGCCUUCAUCUGUACUGUCUAGUGAUAGCAUGCACAUUGGCCUUCUUGCUGCAGCUGCUCAUGCUGCUGCUACAAAUAGCCGAUUCACCAUUUUCUAUAACCCAAGGGCAAGUCCUUCUGAAUUUGUGAUUCCACUAGCUAAGUAUGUCAAGGCAGUCUAUCACACCCGGGUUGCUGUGGGUAUGCGUUUCCGGAUGCUGUUUGAAACUGAAGAGUCAAGUGUUCGACGAUACAUGGGCACAAUUACAGGGAUUAGCGAUCUUGACCCUGCCCGAUGGCCAAACUCACACUGGCGUGCCCUAAAGGUUGGCUGGGAUGAGUCAACAGCUGGAGAGAAGCAGCCUAGGGUUUCACUUUGGGAGAUUGAACCUCUAACAACCUUUCCAAUGUAUCCAUCUUCCUUUCCUGUUCGUCUUAAGCGCCCAUGGCCCACUGGAUUGCCCUUCUUUCAUGGUGGAAAUGAUGAUAUCGAUCUCAAUUUACCUCUGAUGCGGCUUAGAGAUAGUGGGUACCCAGCAAUUCAGUCAUUAAAUUUCCAGGGUGUUGGUGUUACACCUUGGAUGCAGCCAAGACUUGAUGCUUUAAUGCUUGGUCUACAACCUGACAUGUGCCAGGCAAUGACUACAGGAGCGCUUCAGGAAAUGAGGACCAUAGAUCCUACAAAGCAGGUCUCUCCUGCAAUUCUUCAAUUCCAGCAACCACAGAACUCAGCUAAUAUAUCCACUCCCACACUACCAAGUCCAAUUCUACAGCAUGUGCAAACCUUCCUUCAAGCCACACAAGAUAAUCAGGUCCAAAGCCAGAAUCAGUCUCAAUUUCUUCAUCAUCAUUUGCAACAGGGCCAUUCCUUUGCUCAACAAGGGCAACAGCAAGUUCCACAGCAGCAGCAGCAGAAUCUGCAUCUGCUGACACCACAUUGUCAACAAAUUCAGCAGCAGAAGAUAUUGUCUGGUUAUCAAGAAGUACCUUAUGUUGCUUCAAAUCUUUUACAGCUUAGCUCUAGUUCUCAAUCCCAAUCAACCACAGUGCACAUGAUUUCCCCAUCUUGCCAGCUGAAGGACUUCCCAGAUUCUAAUGGUAACUCUGUUUCAGCAUCCAAUGCCUCUCCUCUACAUGGUAUUUUCCAGCAAAAUUCUUCUGAAGAAACAUCACAACUUAGUUUGCCAAAAUAUGGUCAACCAGUUACUUCCAGUCCCUGGUCAUCCAAGCGAGCUGCAGUUGAGUCAGGGCUCCCUUUGGGGGCUCAAAGCAUGCUCUCGCAUGUAGAACAAUUGGGUGCAACACAACCUAAUAUUUCCCUACAUUCUGUUAUGUUACCACCAUUUCCUGGAAAAGAAUGCUCAGCAAGUCGAGAUGGUAACAUGGAUAUGCAAAACCAGCACUUGUUUGGUGUCAAUGUUGACUCAUCAAUUCUAGCGCAGAAUGGCAUUCCAAGCCUCAACACUGGUGUCAGUGAGACUUGUUCGACAAAUUUGUCGUAUGCCACAUGCAAUUUACUGAGCUCCUCUGGAAAUGAUUUCCGUAUCAAUCGAGCAUUGAGUGGUUGCAAUGGUUUGGAUGAAUCAAGAUUUUUGAGGUCCCAUGAGAAUGUUGAUCAAGCAAAUCCGCAGAGUGGAUUGUUUGUUAAGGUAUAUAAAUCAGGUUCAUUUGGGAGGACACUGGACAUCACCAAGUUUAGCAGCUACCAUGAUUUACGCAGUGAGCUUGGGUGUCUUUUUGGCCUGGAAGGCCAAUUGGAGGACCCUUUGAGAUCAGGCUGGCAGCUUGUUUUUGUCGACCGGGAGAAUGAUGUCCUUCUUGUUGGCGAUGAUCCUUGGCAGGAGUUUGUAAACAGUGUGUCAUACAUAAAGAUACUUUCGCCCGAAGAAGUGCAGCAGAUGGGCAAACAGGGAAUAGAUUUCGUGAAUUCAGCCCCCCUCAAGAGGCUUCAAAGAAAUGGAUGUGAUGAUCAUGUUAGUCAGCAGGAUUCAACAAAUCUUAGCGCCAGGAUCACAUCCAUGGGGUCAUUCAAAUACUGAAGAGGCAACCUUCUCUUUUCCCAGCCCUACAUUUUGCUGCACUUGAGAGUUGGAAUUAAGCACCAAAGUUCAAAACCAGGUUCAAGUUUGAGAUAAAUCAUUUCAUAUCUGGAAGGCUACAUCCACAAAAGUUUAGAGAGAGAGAGAGACCCCAUGUAAGUUGGUUCUUGUCCAAGCAGGAACUGCAUUCAUUGUAGCAGGGAAGAUGGCCACUUCUUCAGGUCACUGGUAAAGCCUACUCUCUCUCUCUCUCUCUCUCUCUCUCUCUCUCUCUCUUGAUUGCAAACAGGCUGCCCUGCUGCUUUGGCUGAUGGAUGUUAGGUUCGUCGAGGUGACACAUUGCCACUGGACCUAAAAGCGGGGAGCAUGUGGCCUCCAUGAACUCCCACUUACAAAAAGAUAUGGACAGCUCUUCCCCUUGUCACCUUCUUCCUUGCAUCAUCAUUCUCCCAUCCCUUUCCGAUCUGUGUUGGCCCCAGUGGCCAUGGCCUCAGAUCGACUGCUUUUCCAGCUUCAUGUUAUGUGACAGUAAUAAUCCCUUGGUCAAACUGUUCAUCCAACAGACAUCAGUAGCAGCAGCAUUUCACCUUUCCAAAGCUAUUGCUCCUGUUUGAAACUGUUCUCUUCUCUCGAUCCCUUCUGAAGAAAUCUCCUGCAGGCUUUGUGGGUGGCAUGCAGUCAUAGAUAGUCAUUUUUGGUUUCUUAAGUUAGUAUGUGAUGAUGAUAAUGACAUAAAAGAUGGUGAGCUUGAGAUCAAGAUUGUUUAAUGGUGAUGGUUCUUGGAUUUUUUUUACUUAAUUAAAAUCAAAGAUAAAAGAAAAAAAUACAGUUGGAAUAAUAAAAAAUGAUGAUGAUGAUGGUUCAUUCUAUUAGAAAGGAGAGAGUAGAUUUAAACAAGAAAACUGUGCAGCAACUAAGAAUAAACCAUAUAUAUAUAUAUACAUAUAUAUAUAUAUAUAUAAUACUUUUAAUUAUCUUUAGCAUAUCGAUUUUUAUAUUUUUAAAAAUUACAUUAAGUUCUCUAUACAUAUGAUUAACUAACUUCGUUGUUUCAAAUUUUUAAUCUUAUAAAAUUAAUUUUUUUAUGUUGUAUAAAGAUCUUAAUGUUUUAUUUUUAUGAAUAUAGAAAUCUUAAUAUAACUUUUGAAAGUGUAGAGAUCAAGAUAACCUAUUAUAAUUAGUCUUGUAGCUAAAUAUAGGUAAACUUCAAAAGUUUCAUAUCAUGAUAGAUGGAUUUGUCUUGUGUGUGUCAUAAGAUCAAUUUGUUUAUCACAAAUCAGACAUGGAUGCAUCUUUUGCUGACAGGGAGAAGGGUUUUAAACAAGAAAACUGUAGAGAUAAUAGAUAUCAAAACAUCAAUCCACAUGAAGAACUCUAAUUCACAGAACACUCAUCUGAUUCAUCCCUGUGAUAGGAUGGAUUUGUCUCAUCUAUUAUAUGAGCAAAAUAAUCACACAUUAGACAAGACAUGUAUACAUCUUUUUUCUAAUAGAGAGAAGUCCCAAAGAACAAAACUGUGCAGCAAUGUUGAAGCCAGUAAUAAACCCUCCCCACAAACACUGCCAAAUGUUUCUUUUACUCUUCAUUGUGAUGAUCUUUUUUUGAAGUUGACAUCAAUGCAGGAAUUGACUUCGUUCAAAUGGAUACCAAUAAUAUAAUGUGUUCAAAUAUAUUUUAUAUAUAUAUAUAUAUAUAUAUAUAUAUAUAUAUAUAUUUGUGGCAGAGCUGUAAUUAUCCCCAACUGCUCCCAUUACGUGGGGGAUGACAAAAAGUCAAACGCGCGUAAUCCAUUCCUCCCGACGAUGGCAAAACCGUAAUUAUCUGCAGAUUGGCCGUCGAAGACUGCGAGAGUCAACCAUCUUGUCCCUGAUCAUUGGUCAGCACACGGCGAUCUUUCCUGCCUUCUCGUGAGAGUGAUUAAUAUGUUAUAUUCUUGAUCAUAUACAUAUAUCAAUCCUUCUUGCUGCUGGAUUUCAUCUUCUAAUAGCAAACUGGAUAUCAGUUCUUGCAGAUGAUUCUUGGAGACCUUCUUUUUCUUGGGCUAUUUAGGUUGGGAACCGCUAGGGUCUGGAUAAAGUUGGGUUCUUGAUUGGAUUACCGGUUCGUUUGUGGUGGCUCGAUUGGGGUUUCUUCGUCGCCCUCCUUCUUUCUCCCUGUUCCGUUUGAGGCAUUCCUAAAUGUGUAACUUCGUGUGGUUUCUCGAGUUUGUUUUCUUUAUUCUUCAAUUGGCUCUCGAUGUCUAGGGCUGUUUGUCCAGUUUGGGCUGGUUUAGGUUUCUUCUUCGCCAUGGCGAUCUGCUGAGCGUGCUUGCUAUUGAUCGAGGAAGUGAUCUAGACUAUCACCCUGGAGCGUCUUGUUUCUUGGAUUGAGAUGGCCAUGGAGCAGAGAGUCCAUGAGAUUUUAGAGGCGAUUAGGGUUUAAGUUCCGACUGUUUAAGGGAUUGUUUGAGAUGGACUGCUUGCAGCUGGGUUGGAAAGCUGAUGGAUUUCGUCGGCAAAGGCAGUUUGAUUGUUGCAGUUCCUCAAUUCCACUGCCAGGCUUAUAAUCAUCACUAGUCAUACAAUUACAAAUUUAGUAUUUGACGAACUCAUGUUCCUAAUCUCAACAACCGCAACAACAACGGAAACAAACAUCGUGCCAUCGACGUAGGUAAACGGGCACAUCCAUGGCUUCUCACAGAAGAGUGUCAGAGGGAAGAGCUAUUCCAGCCGAUGAACUGCUAACCAGCGAGAACAGUGGCUGAAGGUGAGCUUUGAUGAUGGUGUCUGAAAUCCAAAAAGAGUGCUCAAGCAUGAAAAGAACUCGACACUGCUAAAAGGUUCGAUAAGGGCUAAUUAAAGCUUACAAUUCACAAGAAACAAUUGUUGACAGGCAUGUAAAGACUCUGCAAGGAUCUUAUAGUUUCAUGAGCAUGCUUUUUUCUGAUACAAGGCAGCAGAACUCUCAACCUUGUUCAGAAAGGGAGAUGAAAGCUGAUAUGAACCCAUCCUUCAUGGUCUGUGUCCUGUCAUUGACUUGUGGCUUCAAUGACAUUAAUAUUUGGGUCAACAUCCUAUAGGCUAUAUGAGUGUGAUGAAAAUUUGGUUUCAAUACUGAUGCAUGUAUCAGUCAAGAGUCAGUAAUGACAAGAUAUAUGAUAGAUGCAUGGAUGUAUGAGUUCUAUUUGAUCCACCAUUUGUGAGAUCUGACCA